rnacentral:rRNA from 1 species
UGCUUGCACUGGUCAAUCUAGUGGCGAACGGGUGAGUAACACGUGGGUAACCUGCCCAUCAGAGGGGGAUAACAUUCGGAAACGGAUGCUAAAACCGCAUAGGUCCUUUAACCGCAUGGUUGAAGGAGGAAAAGAGGCGCAAGCUUCUGCUGAUGGAUGGACCCGCGGUGCAUUAGCUAGUUGGUGUGGUAACGGCUCACCAAGGCCGUGAUGCAUAGCCGACCUGAGAGGGUGAUCGGCCACAUUGGGACUGAGACACGGCCCAAACUCCUACGGGAGGCAGCAGUAGGGAAUCUUCCGCAAUGGACGCAAGUCUGACGGAGCAACGCCGCGUGAGUGAAGAAGGUUUUCGGAUCGUAAAACUCUGUUGUUAGAGAAGAACAAGUGCUAGAGUAACUGUUAGCGCCUUGACGGUAUCUAACCAGAAAGCCACGGCUAACUACGUGCCAGCAGCCGCGGUAAUACGUAGGUGGCAAGCGUUGUCCGGAUUUAUUGGGCGUAAAGCGAGCGCAGGCGGUUCCUUAAGUCUGAUGUGAAAGCCCCCGGCUCAACCGGGGAGGGUCAUUGGAAACUGGGGAACUUGAGUGCAGAAGAGGAGAGUGGAAUUCCAUGUGUAGCGGUGAAAUGCGUAGAUAUAUGGAGGAACACCAGUGGCGAAGGCGACUCUCUGGUCUGUAACUGACGCUGAGGCUCGAAAGCGUGGGUAGCAAACAGGAUUAGAUACCCUGGUAGUCCACGCCGUAAACGAUGAGUGCUAAGUGUUGGAGGGUUUCCGCCCUUCAGUGCUGCAGU